rnacentral:rRNA from 1 species
GACGAACGCUGGCGGCGUGCUUAACACAUGCAAGUCGAACGGAAAGGCCCUGCUUUUGUGGGGUGCUCGAGUGGCGAACGGGUGAGUAACACGUGAGUAACCUGCCCUUGACUUUGGGAUAACUUCAGGAAACUGGGGCUAAUACCGGAUAGGAGCUCCUGCUGCAUGGUGGGGGUUGGAAAGUUUCGGCGGUUGGGGAUGGACUCGCGGCUUAUCAGCUUGUUGGUGGGGUAGUGGCUUACCAAGGCUUUGACGGGUAGCCGGCCUGAGAGGGUGACCGGCCACAUUGGGACUGAGAGACGGACCAGACGCCUACGGGAGGCAGCAGGGGGGAAUAUUGCACAAUGGGCGGAAGCCUGAUGCAGCAACGCCGCGUGCGGGAUGACGGCCUUCGGGUUGUAAACCGCUUUCGCCUGUGACGAAGCGUGAGUGACGGUAAUGGGUAAAGAAGCACCGGCUAACUACGUG